UGGGGGAAUAUUGGACAAUGGGGGCAACCCUGAUCCAGCAAUGCCGCGUGUGUGAAGAAGGUCUUCGGAUUGUAAAGCACUUUCGACGGGGACGAUGAUGACGGUACCCGUAGAAGAAGCCCCGGCUAACUUCGUGCCAGCAGCCGCGGUAAUACGAAGGGGGCUAGCGUUGCUCGGAAUGACUGGGCGUAAAGGGCGUGUAGGCGGUUUACACAGUCAGAUGUGAAAUCCCCGGGCUUAACCUGGGAGCUGCAUUUGAUACGUGUAGACUAGAGUGUGAGAGAGGGUUUGUGGAAUUCCCAGUGUAGAGGUGAAAUU
rnacentral:rRNA from 1 species